CAGCUAUUCAAAACUGCUGCCAGCUUGAUUGUUUCUACUGAAUUGACCAGUUUCAAACAGAUUGGUCAAGAGGUGAUUAACCUGUUUGAGCUAACUGGUGAUUAACCAAGAGUCGAGUUAUGUGCACAGGCAAGCAAAGUCUGCCAAAGGUCAUCUGACAUAAUAGCUGAUGAAUUCAAGCCCAGUGGAUUUCAUUUGCAAUUUUCAAUUUACUGAGGCCUCCAAACCCCACGGUGAUAAAAGCUUCCCCUAUCGUGGCCUGUCACAAACAUCAAGAAACUGCACAAACCCACAAGAAAGAAAAAAGAGAAAGCUGUGCAUCAUCACAGCUAUAGAUAAGGAGAACAGGAAGAAAUGGUAUCAUGCAGGAAGAUGGGGAGCAGCCUGUGUGGCUAGUUCUCUAAAUGCCAAUUGAAACGAAAAGACUAUGAGGAACAAUCAAAUAACUUCCACAGAAUAACAACAUGUUUCUUUGGAGCUUUUAUGUGAAAAUUGCCUUCUAAUCUCUGACUUGACAUGCUCCCACACAAAAAUGUAAGUGUAAAUAUGCAAAUAAAUAAAUGAAUAAAU
rnacentral:lncRNA from 1 species